CAAGACUUGACAUCCCGCUGACCGCUCUAGAGAUAGAGCUUCCCUUCGGGGCAGCGGUGACAGGUGGUGCAUGGUUGUCGUCAGCUCGUGUCGUGAGAUGUUGGGUUAAGUCCCGCAACGAGCGCAACCCCUAUGUUGUGUUGCUACCAUUUAGGUGAGCACUUACAACAGACUGCCGGUGACAAACCGGAGGAAGGCGGGGAUGACGUCAAAUCAUCAUGCCCCUUAUGUCUUGGGCUACACACGUGCUACAAUGGACGGUACAAAGGGUUGCGAAGCCGCGAGGUGGAGCCAAUCCCAGAAAGCCGUUCGUAGUUCGGAUUGCAGGCUGCAACUCGCCUGCAUGAAGCCGGAAUUGCUAGUAAUCGCGGAUCAGCAUGCCGCGGUGAAUUCGUUCCCGGGCCUUGUACACACCGCCCGUCACACCAUGGGAGUUGGUAACACCCGAAGUCGGUGAGGUAACUGCUUGCAGAGCCAGCCGCCUAAGGUGGGAUCGAUAACUGGGGUG
rnacentral:rRNA from 1 species